rnacentral:rRNA from 1 species
AUUGAACGCUGGCGGAAUGCUUUACACAUGCAAGUCGAACGGCAGCACGGGGGCAGCCCUGGUGGCGAGUGGCGAACGGGUGAGUAAUACAUCGGAACGUGCCCGGUCGUGGGGGAUAACGUAGCGAAAGUUACGCUAAUACCGCAUACGAUCUGAGGAUGAAAGCGGGGGACCUUCGGGCCUCGCGCGAUCGGAGUGGCCGAUGUCAGAUUAGGUAGUUGGUGGGGUAAAGGCCUACCAAGCCGACGAUCUGUAGCUGGUCUGAGAGGACGACCAGCCACACUGGGACUGAGACACGGCCCAGACUCCUACGGGAGGCAGCAGUGGGGAAUUUUGGACAAUGGGCGCAAGCCUGAUCCAGCCAUUCCGCGUGCAGGACGAAGGCCUUCGGGUUGUAAACUGCUUUUGUACGGAACGAAAAGGCUCUGGCUAAUACCUGGGGCUCAUGACGGUACCGUAAGAAUAAGCACCGGCUAACUACGUG